rnacentral:lncRNA from 1 species
ACUCACAUACAUCCCUUCCCCCACACUUGUUUUCUGCAAUACAUUGAUAAAAAAGAAUUCAUUUUGAGUUAUGCUUUACUAUGCUUUAAGAACAAGGGUAAGGAUGGGCCUAAUCUAGUCUAGGUAAGGAUAAUGUGGGUUAACAAACAAUAUAGGCUAAACAAGGCUCAACGGGGUUAAACCUACAAAACAAAUGCAUGGAAUGAAGGCUUUUUGGCUAUGGUGGAAACUACUAACUUCAUCUUGAAUAUGUGUUAUGCAAUUCAAUAACAUGUUUUGAAUGACAUUGGCAUGAGUUCUAGUGUUUGGAACUAAAUGAUGAAACGCCUUCUAAGCAUAUAACAUUUAUAUGAGACGGCUUAAAACAAUAAUCUUUGCCCUUGAUAUUAAACUAGAUUAGUUUAACAUGUGAAAUGUCCGUAAAGUAUCAUUAUAUGAUUGGUUUUAGGGCACAUUUCCAACAUACAUGAUGUUGUGAAGCUAGGCAACGAGAAUAGCCAACAUCGUAUCAUUGUGAGGUUGUUCAUGAACCCCUACUUGAACUUGCAUGGUGGGAAUGACUUAACUAAGUGCAAUGGAGCCAACAUCAUAUCAUUGUGAGGCUUCAUUCUCUAGAGGCCAAAUAAGAUGGGUACUUGCAAUGAGUAAGUGUACUCUCUCAUUAUUAUUGAUGCUAGCCAACAUCAUAUCAUUGUGAGGUGGGCUUAGUAAUGAUGAGUCUCCCAUACCCUACUAAGAGUUUCCUCCAAAACUCUCGAAUUCCGAUGAGGGAUAUGGAAUUUUCCAAAAAUAGUGGGUGGUGCUAUUUGAUUUAAAGACCCGAAUCUAAUGGCUUAAAAUCAAUCAAUUUAUAUUCGUUAUGUAUUUGUUUACCAAUAUAUUUGCAAACGCUAUCCAAAACUUGACAAAGAAAAGCCGAAUGCUUUAGUUUCCGAACUUGGUACCACAAUCCCAAAGAUUGUCUUAAAUGGAUUGUAUAUGUACCUAAGUAGUCUAAUCCUCACAAU